GUUGCAUUGCUGUGUAGGGACUCACGUUACAUAUGGAAUCAAUAGCAUUAACACAGUUAGCAUUACUCAAGGUAAAAGAUUAUUUCAUGACUAUUGACUAUAAAAAUCAAACAAUGACAAGAGGAGAUUUAUUUAGAUACAUACUAUAGAAGAAAGAUAAAUACUAUAAGAUCUGGCCAAGAUUUAUGGUAUAUAGAUUUACAGAUUUGAGAUAUAAUAACAAAAUAGUUGCCACCACAGUGGACAGAUUAAGAGAAGAUUUAUUUAUAAACAUCACACAAAAGGAGAGUUAAAAAAAAAAAACAACACACACACACACACACUAGCCC
rnacentral:lncRNA from 1 species